rnacentral:rRNA from 1 species
CACGUAGGGGGCAAGCGUUGUCCGGAAUCAUUGGGCGUAAAGCGCGUGUAGGCGGUCCGGUAAGUCGGUUGUGAAAGUCCAGGGCUCAACCCUGGGAUGCCGACCGAUACUGUCGGACUAGAGUUCGGAAGAGGCGAGUGGAAUUCCCGGUGUAGCGGUGAAAUGCGCAGAUAUCAGGAGGAACACCAAUGGCGAAGGCAGCUCGCUGGGACGGUACUGACGCUGAGACGCGAAAGCGUGGGGAGCAAACAGG